UACCAGACUCCUACGGGAGGCAGCAGUGAGGAAUAUUGGUCAAUGGGCGAGAGCCUGAACCAGCCAAGUCGCGUGAGGGAGUACUGCCCUAUGGGUUGUAAACCUCUUUUGUCGGGGAGCAAAAGCCGGACGUGUCCGGCUGUGAGAGUACCCGAAGAAAAAGCAUCGGCUAACUCCGUGCCAGCAGCCGCGGUAAUACGUAGGGGGCAAGCGUUAUCCGGAUUUACUGGGUGUAAAGGGAGCGUAGACGGAAAGGCAAGUCAGAAGUGAAAACCCAAGGCUCAACCAUGGGACUGCUUUUGAAACUGUCAAACUAGAGUACGGGAGAGGUAAGAGGAAUUCCUAGUGUAGCGGUGAAAUGCGUAGAUAUCAGGAGGAACACCGGUGGCGAAGGCGGCCUGCUGGACUGCGACUGACGUUGAGGCCCGAAAGCGUGGGGAGCAAACAGGAUUAGAUACCCUCGUAA
rnacentral:rRNA from 1 species